CCAAUAGCGUAUAUUUAAGUUGUUGCAGUUAAAAAGCUCGUAGUUGGAUUUCGGGAGUGAGGCGUCGGUCUUCCCUUACCGGUCGAUACUGACCCUCUUCCUUAUCUGCCUUGGGCGUCGCCUAGUCUUCGUUGCCUGGGCGCGCUACACGGUGCCGUUACCUUGAAUAAAUUAUGGUGUUCAAAGCAGGCUUAUGCUCUGAGUACAUUAGCAUGGAAUAACAGCAUAGGACUCCGGUCCUAUUGCGUUGGUCUUCUGACCGGAGUAAUGAUUAAUAGGGACAGUCGGGGGCAUUCGUACUUCAGUGUUAGAGGUGAAAUUCUUGGAUCACUGAAAGACGAACUUCUGCGAAAGCAUUUGCCAAGGAUGUUUUCAUUAAUCAAGAACGAAAGUUGGGGGCGCGAAGACGAUUAGAUACCGUCCUAGUCCCAACCGUAAACGAUGCCGACCCCGAAUUGGCGCACGUAAGACUUGACGUCGCCAGCGCCCGAGGAGAAAUCAGAGUCUUUGGGUUCCGGGGGGAGUAUGGUCGCAAGUCUGAAACUUAAAGGAAUUGACGGAAGGGCACCACCAGGUGUGGAGCGUGCGGCUUAAUUUGACUCAACGCGGGGAAUCUUACCAGGUCCGGACAUAGCGACGAUUGACAGACUGAUAGCUCUUUCUUGAUCAUAUGGGUAGUG
rnacentral:rRNA from 1 species